rnacentral:rRNA from 1 species
UACGUAGGGCGCAAGCGUUGUCCGGAAUUAUUGGGCGUAAAGAGCUCGUAGGCGGCUUGUCAAGUCGGGUGUGAAAGCCCGGGGCUUAACCCCGGGUCUGCAUUCGAUACGGGCAGGCUAGAGUGUGGUAGGGGAGAUCGGAAUUCCCGGUGUAGCGGUGAAAUGCGCAGAUAUCGGGAGGAACACCGGUGGUGAAGGCGGUUCUCUGGGCCUUACCUGACGCUGAGGAGCGAAAGCGUGGGGAGCGAACAGG